CGGCCGCGAGGGGGCGCCGCUGCUCCCGCCCCGCGGAGGCCGAUGGCCGCCGAGUUGAUGGGAGCGCGAAGGCGGCAGCGCGAGGGAUCGAUAAAGGAGAUUCUCCUCAGCGCAGGAAACCGCUGCGUAAUGCCGUGAAGAAGUGAGAGGACGGGGCUGGAGCGAGAAGAAGCACUGAAGUAUGCACCCCUCUUGUGUGCCGUGUAAGGGAACGAGCCUAUGAAGCCUUCCGGGCUAAAACACCAGGAUCUGAAGUUACCCUUCUUUGUGCCGACGUAUGUUUUUAUUUCUGAAGAUGAGGAGAGCUCGCGGCUCCCAAAGCCUUGUCAUUGAAAUUGCGUGUGAAAUUGCCUCCGAAAAUCCGAUCACCCUACGUGGAUCCACAAUGCAGGUUUUACGUUAGGCAGCGAUGCUGGAGAGCAGCAGUCAGAGUGCGCUUGGGGUCAUGGGAAUAAAGCAGCCGCUCCCCUCAGCGGUUAUGGAGAGACCUCGGGGGGGAAACAGCGUUUUUAUGGGCUCUGAAUGCUUCUCUCUUUCCCUUGCGGUCCGUGGCAUUCAGACCACGCUAACUCGACCUACUUUAGACCGCUCGCUGAGCUUUUCCAAAUACUUAUGUUCUGUGUUUACUUAAGGUGCUAUUAAAUCCUUUAUUGGCUGUUUUACUGUUGCAGGAUUCUCCGCCAGGCAUGUGCGAAUUCCAGUACGAGACAGAGGCUCUGCUCGAGGCUUAAAAUGAGCUGUUCUACAAAAGCAAUGCUCAUUCUGUGCAUGAAGCAAGAUGGCAAAUAAAGCAGUAUUCAACUUUUCUAUUGAGGAAAAAAUACUUGAAACUUCAACAUGGUUGAAACCCGUUUAAGAGUAUCGGGAAGGCAUCUGUUCCAUAUCACCCAACUGGCCCACAGCAUCUGCUGGAAAGGAAAAUUUUCACAUCAAUCCUCAAUUGUCUUAUCAUUUUUUAUUUUAUUAUUUUUUUUCUGAAAAUAUGGAUAGAAUUAUGAGAUACAAACUUUCUCUCCAUUUCAAGAGACUUUCAAGGGGUAACGGGCUUAAGUGUGUCAGAGAAGUUCAAGUUGGACAUUAGGAAAAAUUUGUUCUCAGCAAGAGCAGUGAGGCAGUGGCACAGGCUGCCCAGGGAGGUGGUGUAGUCACUGUCCCUGGAGGUGUUCAAGAGCCGUGUGGAUGUGGCACUGCGGGAUGUGGGCAAUGGGCAUGGUGGGGUUGUGUUGGUGUUUGGACUAGAUCGGAUGUGUCCAACGUGUGGCCCAGCACAAUUCACAAUGUGGCCACCUCCUGUGUUACUGUGCUCAUUGUAUCUGUUGUAUUUUCCACAGAAAUAAAUUGUAGCUGUUAUUUUCUA